GGGGAAUCCGUGCAAACACACCCCUGAAGAUAAAACAAAACAAACGCUUUCUUCAUUUUAUCCCUUCGCAUCUGCAACCUUGGAGAUUAACCUCCACUUCCUCCCACCCGUAUUCGAUCUCGUAUCGGAGAUGGAGGUUUAAUUAUCGAUUGUAGAUAGACCUGCUAAGAAUAUAGAGGCCAGCAUGAACAUUAUCGGAUCUGUCUCUCCCAUGAAGUUAAGUGGAACAAUUCAGAGAAGAUACUGGUGGCAUCCAAAUCCUGAUAAAAAAUGUUCAUUUCACAAAUGUUCUGGAAGCAACAAACUGGAAUCGUUCAGGAAUAGUGAGUUCAUGGGUUUCAAAAUGAAGGCUCCAAUUUGGUUGCUUAAGGACAAGAAGCCAAGACAUGGUGCCAGCCCUCUCCAGGUUUUCUGCAAAGACUUCCCGAGGCCUGAACUUGAGAACACUGUUAGUUUUCUAGAAGCUGCCCAGUUAUCUUCAUCUUUCUGCAAUGGUCCACGGCCAAGAAAACCUCUGAAGGUUGUCAUAGCCGGUGCAGGUCUGGCUGGUCUAUCUACGGCAAAAUAUCUAGCAGAUGCAGGUCAUAAGCCUAUAGUCUUGGAGGCUAGAGAUGUCCUGGGUGGAAAGGUUGCUGCUUGGAAGGACAAUGAUGGAGAUUGGUAUGAGACAGGCCUCCAUAUAUUCUUUGGGGCAUAUCCCAAUAUGCAGAACUUGUUUGGGGAACUUGGUAUCAAUGAUCGCUUGCAAUGGAAGGAGCAUUCUAUGAUUUUUGCAAUGCCGAACAAGCCAGGAGAGUUUAGCAGAUUCGAUUUCCCAGAAACUCUUCCUGCACCUUUCAAUGGAAUAUUUGCAAUAUUAAGAAAUAGUGAAAUGCUGACUUGGCCAGAGAAAGUGAGAUUUGCACUUGGACUUUUGCCAGCCAUGCUUGGAGGGCAAGCUUAUGUGGAGGCGCAGGAUGGGUUGACUGUUACAGAGUGGAUGAGAAGGCAGGGUGUGCCGGACCGAGUCAAUGAUGAAGUUUUCAUUGCCAUGUCCAAAGCACUCAACUUUAUAAACCCCGAUGAGCUUUCCAUGCAAUGUGUAUUAAUUGCUUUGAACCGUUUUCUUCAGGAAAAGCAUGGUUCAAAAAUGGCCUUCCUAGAUGGUAAUCCUCCUGAAAGAUUAUGCAAGCCAAUUGUUGAUCAUAUUGAAUCAUUGGGUGGAGAAGUUUGGGUUAAUUCACGAACUCAGAAAAUUGAGCUAAACCCCGAUGGAACUGUAAAGCACUUUUUGCUCAGCAGUGGAAACAUAAUCAGUGGAGAUGUUUAUGUAAUUGCCACUCCUGUUGAUAUCUUGAAGCUUCUUUUACCGCAAGAGUGGAAGGAUAUUCUGUACUUCAAGAAGUUGGAAAAAUUAGUGGGAGUCCCUGUUAUCAAUGUACAUAUAUGGUUUGACAGAAAACUGAAGAACACCUAUGACCAUCUUCUAUUCAGCAGGAGUCCUCUUUUGAGUGUAUAUGCAGACAUGUCCGUCACAUGCAAGGAAUAUUAUGAUCCUGAUCGUUCAAUGUUGGAAUUAGUGUUUGCUCCCGCAGAACAAUGGAUCUCAUGCAGUGACCAGGAAAUUGUUGAUGCCACUAUGCAAGAACUGGCUAAGCUAUUUCCUGAUGAGAUUGCGGCGGAUCAAAGUAAAGCCAAAAUUCUGAAAUAUCAUGUAGUAAAGACUCCAAGAUCUGUUUACAAGACUGUUCCAGAUUGUGAACCAUGCCGCCCUUUGCAAAGAUCCCCGGUUAAAGGUUUCUAUCUGGCUGGCGACUAUACAAAACAGAAAUAUUUGGCUUCCAUGGAGGGUGCUGUGCUAUCUGGGAAGCUUUGUGCUCAGGCAAUCACACAGCCUACCAAACCUGGGAUUCAUGAUGGAUGGACUACUACCACAAAUGUCAGAUAAGAACCUUAAAUUUUAAGUUGGUAUCAUCCAUCAUGAGUUCCCUGUGCUGAUAAGGACUAUGAUGUGUUGGUUGCUCAGGCCGCCCAGAGAGAAGUCCAGGUGUCAAUAUGAGUGUCAGCUAGUUGAUUUAUCAUUAACAUCACUGCAAAAGGAAUUUUAUAGGCAUAAGUCAAAAUUGUUUCUGUAAUUGGCCUUUCCAAAUAGCUCGAAGUACCUGUAAGAGUCCAACUAUUGUAGGAAGAUUGCUUUUCACUCUUGAGCAACAUCAAAACCGAAAGAUCCUCUUUUACUGCAA